AGAAGACUGUGUCUCCUCCUUUGUAUUCACCAUUUUUCAAAGAGGAAAACCACACUCAUGGAACUUUAUAAAACAAAUAGAAAAGCUGAGAAAGAGAAAGAAAGAACAUUUCUCCAACAGAGGUUAAUUUAAUUCACCAUUAAGAUCAUUUCUCCAACAGAGGUUAAUUUAAUUCACCAUUAACUUUAUACAUUAAGAAACUCGUGCAAUUAGCACAAGAACUUCCUCAACAAAGGUGGAAGUUACCAAGU
rnacentral:lncRNA from 1 species